GAUGAACGCUGGCGGCGCGCCUAAACACAUGCAAGUCGAACGGCACCUAUCUUCGGAUAGAAGCGAGUGGCGAACGGCUGAGUAACACGUGGAGAACCUGCCCCCUCCCCCGGGAUAGCCGCCCGAAAGGACGGGUAAUACCGGAUACCCCGGGGUGCCGCAUGGCACCCCGGCUAAAGCCCCGACGGGAGGGAUGGCUCCGCGGCCCAUCAGGUAGACGGCGGGGUACGGCCCACCGUGCCGACAACGGGUAGCCGGGUUGAGAGACCGACCGGCCAGAUUGGGACUGAGACACGGCCCAGACUCCUACGGGAGGCAGCAGUGGGGAAUCUUGCGCAAUGGGGGGAACCCUGACGCAGCGACGCCGCGUGCGGGACGGAGGCCUUCGGGUCGUAAACCGCUUUCAGCAGGGAAGAGUCAAGACUGUACCUGCAGAAGAAGCCCCGGCUAACUACGUG
rnacentral:rRNA from 1 species